rfam:Acetobacterium wieringae strain DSM 1911 ACWI_contig000020, whole genome shotgun sequence.
GCGAGCCGUAUACGCCGAGAGGUGUACGUACGGUUCUGGAGGGAGUGGGCAACUCGCCUGCUUACCUCAU